rnacentral:ncRNA from 1 species
ACAGCCUCAAUGCGUUUAAGAUAAGCUGGCAAUAAAAAAAGCAGAAUCUAUCCCCGAUGAUAGGCUUUUUUUCUUGUGCUUAUUUAUACGAUAUUGAGCAUUCAUUAGUUACGGUGAGAUAUAAGUUAUUUAACUAUACCUUUAUUUAACUAUACCUUUAUUUAACUAUGUCUUUAAUAUGAAUGUUUCCAAAUUGUAUGUAUGCAGACCAAAAGCCACAUUGUGGAUUUUGGCCUGCAUUUUUUAU